rnacentral:sRNA from 1 species
CUUCUGAGAAUCCAGCUCUCUCUCUAGGUACACAGAACUGUGGCACAGGGUCACCUCCCAUAACUAGUCUUUGUGUGUGGUAUGCUUCAGUAGAAAUCCAUAGAGGUUACGGGGCAGCAAGUGAUCUCCAGGCCAACUUUGGUGAAGACCAGGGUAUAGUUUUACAGUCCUCUAAAAGUAAGCACUGCAUACACUCAUUUAAGGAAAAUACAUAAAUGUAGUUAAAUUUUCACUUUUGGGCAUCCCCAUCAGGAAAGCUUCACAAUUUCCAGAAAAUAUCUUUCCAGUCUCUAGUGUUGACUGGGAAGUACAUGAACAGCUACAAAGUUGCAGGAGUUCCUUUGAAGUUACAAAUAAACUACAGUAUAUCACCACAGGAUUUGGUACAGAAGAAUUGUUCUAGUUUGCUUCAACUGGCAACUUAAUAAGGGCUAGAGUCUUGAUUGUGUGGUUGACCACAUCAGUGGGUUUUCUUGUUUUCAAAUAGAUACAGAACAGCCAAGGCUAUGUAAGAAAGCUACCUAAGAAUGUGCCCGUGGAUGAACCAGCAAGUAGGGUUCAUCCAGUGUUUCUACUUACAGCUCUUGCACUGUAAUCCUACAUAUAUAUAAGAUUGUGGAUUAGUAGCAUGAAAUAAGUUGCUUUUGUUAAUGAUGUUUGCCAGAGCUACAAAAAGAAUAUACAAAUAAAACCCCCUCUUCUAUGUUCAGUGUAAUGCUUGCUCAGCAUUUCCACACAGCUAUUUAUUUCACUUACUUUUUCAUGGUUCUCAACAUAGAUUUCGACUCACAGAAUCUGAGGCUUAAGAUUUGAUGCUGAAAGUUGACAUAAGAGAAAUGAUUCUGAAACUCCUCAUUUGGGUGAAUUUUAUUAUAGGUGACUUAAUUUGAAUACUUGUUUCCGCCCAUGUUUGCCAUAAUAUUCUUUACAGUACUACCAGUCAUCAUCAAGAGACUUGACAAUUGUUGACUUUCAUUAAAAGUUUGGUGACAGCGUUGCCAGAACAUAUUGCAGAGCAUUUCAUGCCCAAUAUCCUUUUUUUUUCUUUUCACUCCAUCCAUCCUCAGUAGUAAAGUAGCAUUACUAAGCAUACAGCCCUGUCACCAUAGAUGUCAUCAGGAUAUGCUUUAUCAACUAGUUUCAUAUUAUGUCCCAUACUAUGAAAUCUGUGAGUCAAAUGUACAUUUGUAUCUAUUGUUUUAUAAGCUGUGUAUCUUCAUGUACCUCCAAAAUGGCCUUGACCUCUUCAAAAUAACAAUGUGAAACUUUACUAGCAUGAGCCAUAUAAGAAGAAUAAGAAUUAAAAUUUUUCAUCAGGAAAUGCCCAAACUAUAUACAUAUUCAUGACACUAUAAUGAUAAUAUCUUAAUACCUAAAUAUGCCCAUCUUUUUGAAAAAAAUCACUGAAAUGGUAAGUAAUGAACACCCAUGGGUUGUAUCAAUGAUUGAAGAGUUAAGUCUACAAACACACUUGCCCUGCUAUAAUAUACGUAAAGACUAAAAUUGAUUAUUAUCAAUUUCUUUGUUUCAUUUUCAGAAUAUAUUUCAAUUUCCAAUCAAGAAAACAAGCAAGUCCUUUAUCCUUUUAAGCCAUUAACAUUUUUCCUGAUUGACAGAAAAAGGGUACGUGUGGGAACGAUCAUCCAUCCUAAUCUUGCUUUUAUGGGUUCAAGGUGUAGCAAUUGAAGGAAGAGCAGCAAUUAUUGAACUUCUAUACCCAACUUAAGCAACAUUCCCUCCCACUUGACCUUAAGACACUCACUCACUAUUCCUUUGUGGAUUAUGUCUAUAGUUCGUUUCCUUGAUACAUAGACUGUGAUUUUGGGCUCCCAGUUAAUGUGUCAGGCAUUGAAGAAUGUCUGUGGAAACAAAAUAACUUAAUAAAAAUAAUCCUUUAGUGCCAGAAUUAGUUCUCCGUUCUAUUUCAUAAAUAUUGUUGUUUUUUCUGUAGCUGUGAGAGAAGCCUAUUCUGCUCCUAUUUUAUUAAAUAAUAUACCAUUCACCAGCACUCCUUCACUUUGUUAUAAUCCUCAAAGCUUAACUUCCAAUGGAAUCAUUUUGCUUAUAGUUCUGUGCAUGACUUGAGAGAUGAUUCAUUCUUAACUUUGCCAACUGAGUAAUACAUUAGUUUAUAUGAAUCCUGCUUAGGGAGAGGAUUUUCUCUCUCUUUUCUUGGUAGAAAGGUGUGCAAGAAGCAGACCUAAUGACCAAAUGACAUCAUCAACAGCUGCAUGCUUUACAAGGACAGCCAUUCAGUAGAUCACAUAUGUGUUCAUCUGACCAAUGAGUAAAAGUAUAUCAGUAAUAGUAAACUACAAUGGCACUCCCAAGUAUUUGCCAACCUGUAUGUUUCAGGGAGAAAUGACAUUGGGGAAUGGGUUAUGUUGGUGUUUGGAUUUCCUCCGUUCUACUCACUCUCUGAAAGAAGUCGUGACCUCUUCAGGGUCACAGGCAGAAGCUUAAGGACACCUGGAGAAGUGGUACAGGACCAGAACCCAGGGACUAGGUGAGGGUUUCGAUCACCAGACUGAUCUGGUUCACUGAAGAAAGUGAGUCUGGUAGUGUCUUGCAUGCAGUUGGCAUAAUCAUGCUCAGCCUGUCCAAUCCACUCUAUUGUACUCGAAUUUGACUCUUUGUAUCUUGUGGUAGGGGAUGUGGUGAACCCUGUUUUAUUCCAUAAUCCUUUUCCUCAGGAUACAAAGAAUCAGAUUCACUUUCUUCAACUGGCUGUGUGCACACAAAUUCCCUGGCUCCAAAAUCCUGGUUCAGGAUUGCUGAGGUUGGCUUUCUCUGACCAUUCAUUAUCUUCUAGGGCCUGGGUGGAUUACUCCUGGGAAUGGGAUUUUUAUCUUCUGCCCUCCUUCCAAUCACAGAUAAUCAUGGAUGACUUGUGGCCAAAUCCUCUUUACUACUACCCUAAGGAAGACCACUCAUGAAGAGAGAAUUAGGACUGUGCCAGGUGAAUAGACAGGAUAAAAAGCAGAGCAUUUCUGACUGUAGACCAUUAAUGAAGAUGCUCAUCGUGUAAACUGGAAUUGACUGAGAUAAAUACUGGCAAAGGUCAUCUAGCUUCCUGUUGAUUAUUUGUGGAGUGUGGAUAAUCACAGAAGUAAUAUCCAAGCCCCUGGAGCUAAAUUCUCUUCAGCCAGAGUCUCUGACCAGACUAAGGACUUGGAGGAUAAGGGUUGAACAGGAGAUGGAUACAUUGAAUUGCCCACAUUCCUCACAAACAUGGGGCCUGUUUCCACUGCUUGGUACUAAGUAACAGAGAUCCCUAAGGCCUGCUUAGAUACUGUUGAACAGUAGUCCAUUCCUUAUCAUUCGUUUACCCCAGUGAAUUCCUUGGCCAUUGUGUUGGCCUAGCUUUACCUGCAUCCAGUUGAACAUCAAGUUGUUGGUAAAAUAGGAACACAGAUAAAAUGUAUUUUAUAAGGGUAACCCCUUCACAUUGGUCAUUUCCCCAGUGCUAUAAGAAUUGCAUUAAAUGAUUUCCUUAACUCCCAGAUAAAGAGAGUUUAGGGCUUGCAUCUCAGCCAGUACAAGGUGACAGUGCCCUAACCAUAGGAGUAUUAGUACAAAUCCAUUUUGUCUGAGGUAAUUGCCAUGUAAUGUCACCACUGGCAAGAUGGGUACCUACUCCUUCCCCCAAAUCUCUUUAAUACAGGUCCCUUCCUGUGUUAAUUCCAUCUGAGAUCGUCAUGCUGCAGAUGUGUGGAGAGACACAUCAGGGCCCAAAACCUAGCUUUGCCUUGGGGAAGUAUUGAAGGAGAGAUCUUUCUAGAAAGUUGCAGAAGGUCUUUCUAGAAGCACCUUCCGCCAGUGAGUGGGUUUGUUUUCCAACAAGCUUCAGCUCCAGUGGGUGGAUAUUACAUUGGGUGUCCCACAUGUCCCUCAAUGUUUUUGUGUACGAUGUCCCAUCCACUAAACAGAGAUGCUGUCUCCAGUAUUUACAAUAACGUCCAGCAACCCUCCACCUCAUACCUCAGCUGGAAUUCGAGUAGGACUUGAUAUGAGCAGUGACACUUCAGUUUUCAUACUAAAGACUGUUACAGUGGAAAGAUAAUUCCCUUUCCCCAGUUCUUAGGAGCAUGAGGUGUCAGGAGCUGUUUGAAACAUCUGGCCCGGAGAAGAGAUAGUCUUUAUGUAGGAAGGAUGGGGAUAGUGUCCUUUCUUAAAUACUGUUUUCACAUCCUCCCACACAGGAAGGAAAAAUGUUUUAUCCCAGCUCUUUGCUUCUCCAAAGCAGGAUGAUGAUCUCUGCAUUCCUACCCAGGGGACUCACUUACCAUAGAACUCCCUUGCAAAUAUGGAAUUAUAGAGGAACAUGAACAGAGAAUGAUGGCCACCUGAAUCUCCCUGUCCUUGGUGACUAAAAAAGAGACUGAAGCACCCACCUCGACCAGCAAGGAAGACGCAACAC